ACGAACGCUGGCGGCGUGCUUAACACAUGCAAGUCGAACGAUGAUGCCCAGCUUGCUGGGUGGAUUAGUGGCGAACGGGUGAGUAACACGUGAGUAACCUGCCCCUGACUCUGGGAUAAGCGUUGGAAACGACGUCUAAUACUGGAUAUGAUUACCGGCCGCAUGGUCUGGUGGUGGAAAGAUUUUUUGGUUGGGGAUGGACUCGCGGCCUAUCAGCUUGUUGGUGAGGUAAUGGCUCACCAAGGCGACGACGGGUAGCCGGCCUGAGAGGGUGACCGGCCACACUGGGACUGAGACACGGCCCAGACUCCUACGGGAGGCAGCAGUGGGGAAUAUUGCACAAUGGGCGAAAGCCUGAUGCAGCAACGCCGCGUGAGGGAUGACGGCCUUCGGGUUGUAAACCUCUUUUAGUAGGGAAGAAGCGCAAGUGACGGUACCUGCAGAAAAAGCACCGGCUAACUACGUGCCAGCAGCCGCGGUAAUACGUAGGGUGCAAGCGUUGUCCGGAAUUAUUGGGCGUAAAGAGCUCGUAGGCGGUUUGUCGCGUCUGCUGUGAAAUCCCGAGGCUCAACCUCGGGCUUGCAGUGGGUACGGGCAGACUAGAGUGCGGUAGGGGAGAUUGGAAUUCCUGGUGUAGCGGUGGAAUGCGCAGAUAUCAGGAGGAACACCGAUGGCGAAGGCAGAUCUCUGGGCCGUAACUGACGCUGAGGAGCGAAAGCGUGGGGAGCGAACAGGAUUAGAUACCCUGGUAGUCCACGCCGUAAACGUUGGGCGCUAGAUGUAGGGACCUUUCCACGGUUUCUGUGUCGUAGCUAACGC
rnacentral:rRNA from 1 species